AUAAUUUCAUUACAUUUUUGUAAAUUGAUUAUUUUAUUUCUUAUAAUAAAUGUAAAUAUUUGUAGCUAAAAAAAUAUACUAGUUAAAAUAUAGUUAGGCUUUUUAUUUACUUAAUUAAAAUUUCAAUUUUAACUAAAGAUAAAUUUUACUUUGAAAGUGCAUAUUAAAAUUAUGAAAAAUAUGAAAAAUGGAUAGGAAUAAAUGAUAUAGGAUUUUUAUGUUAUUAUGAAUGAUAAAAAAAUUAUGAGCUGCCCCUCCUUGCAUGCCACUGACUGUCUAUAUAUGGGCUUUCUGAGAAUUUAUAGUUAAAAAUUAUUUCGUGUAUUUGUGUUAUGCAGUGUUUGCCAAACUUAAAAUCUCUUGAUCUUAAUUGGUCAAAGCAUCUGAAAACAGUCCCUGAUUUUUCUAUGAUGAC
rnacentral:misc_RNA from 1 species